rnacentral:rRNA from 1 species
GUACGGCCGCAAGGUUAAAACUCAAAUGAAUUGACGGGGGCCCGCACAAGCGGUGGAGCAUGUGGUUUAAUUCGAUGCAACGCGAAGAACCUUACCUGGUCUUGACAUCCACGGAAGUUUUCAGAGAUGAGAAUGUGCCUUCGGGAACCGUGAGACAGGUGCUGCAUGGCUGUCGUCAGCUCGUGUUGUGAAAUGUUGGGUUAAGUCCCGCAACGAGCGCAACCCUUAUCCUUUGUUGCCAGCGGUCCGGCCGGGAACUCA